rnacentral:rRNA from 1 species
GUCUGGGAACUGCCUGAUGGAGGGGGAUAACUACUGGAAACGGUAGCUAAUACCGCAUAACGUCGCAAGACCAAAGAGGGGGACCUUCGGGCCUCUUGCCAUCGGAUGUGCCCAGAUGGGAUUAGCUAGUAGGUGGGGUAACGGCUCACCUAGGCGACGAUCCCUAGCUGGUCUGAGAGGAUGACCAGCCACACUGGAACUGAGACACGGUCCAGACUCCUACGGGAGGCAGCAGUGGGGAAUAUUGCACAAUGGGCGCAAGCCUGAUGCAGCCAUGCCGCGUGUAUGAAGAAGGCCUUCGGGUUGUAAAGUACUUUCAGCGGGGAGGAAGGGAGUAAAGUUAAUACCUUUGCUCAUUGACGUUACCCGCAGAAGAAGCACCGGCUAACUCCGUGCCAGCAGCCGCGGUAAUACGGAGGGUGCAAGCGUUAAUCGGAAUUACUGGGCGUAAAGCGCACGCAGGCGGUUUGUUAAGUCAGAUGUGAAAUCCCCCG